rnacentral:lncRNA from 1 species
UAUGGGGCUGGAGACGUCUCUUUUAUUCCCUAUGGGCUUUUAGGGGGGCUCCUUUUCCCCUUUUCCUCCCCAUUUCCCUUUUUUUUCCCCUUUUUCCCUCUUUUUUCACCAUUUUCCCCUUUUUAAUCCUUUUUUUUCCCUAUGGGGAUACCGGGGGGGGUUUACUGGGGGGCCUUUUGGGGCCAUUUUACCCCUUUGGGGACAUUUUGGGGCUGAUUUACCCUUUUUGGGACAUUUUGGGGCCAAUUUAUCCUUUUAGGACAUUUUGGGGCCAAUUUUUUACCUUUUUGGGAUAUUUUAAGUCCAAUUUUUUACCCCAAUGUGGAUAUUUUGGGACCGAUUUACCCCACAGGGACAUUUUGGGGCCGCCCCAUACCCAAAAGGAUUUGGGGGACGGGAGGAAAAAGGGCUCCUGCGUGAAAAUAACCCAAAAUUUUAACUUUUUUCCCUUUUUUUCCCUUUUUUCUCCAAUUUUCAGAGCUUGCUACGGCCGGACGGAGGCAGCAGAACCCACAGCUCCCGGCUGACCCCACACCGAGCCCUCACCCCAAAACCCCGAGGGAUCGAGCCCUUUUGGGGGACCCUAAAAAGGGGGGGGGGGGACCCCAGCGACCCCCCUCCCCCUGGCCCCGCAGCCAGGUAAGCGCCAAAUUUUCACUUUUUUCCCCCAAAAUGAAAUCUUUCCCUCGCUUUUCCAGCCCGAAAUGCGUUUAAUCCCAUUAAAAACGGGGGAAAAAAAUAGGAUUUUAAGGAAACGGGGGUGGAUUUUUGGCACGCCGCCCUCCAGAACCUCGCGAAAAAUUUAUUCCACCAAAAUUAUUCAAAAAUAAUUAUUAAUUUUAAUUAUUAAAUGUAUUAUUAAACGAUUUUUGGGGGAUUUGGGGUUUUUAUGGGAUGCUUCAGACCCCGUUCUGGUGUCCUUAUUGAACUCCGACUUCAGGCUCUUCACGCAGAGCAUGGAGGAGCAAAAAAAGUAGGGUAAAUAUCACUUUUUUGCCCAAAUUUGGCAGAAAUCGCUUUAUUUUUACCCGUUUUUGAAGCGAAACAGAAAGGAAAGGGACAAACAAGGGGGGAAAAAGGGGAAUCUUUGGGAUUUCCUGAUUCUAAUGAGAAUUUUUGCCACUUCCUCGGGCUGUCCCGGGAAGUUUCUCCCUGCCGUGCCUCGUUCCCUUCUCGGAUGAAAAAAGGAGCCCGUUUUGGGUAAAAAAACGGAGAAUUUGGGGGUGGAAGAAGGGGUUUUGUGUGCUCGGUGCGGGCGGGAUCCCGCUGGCCCUAAUCCCCCUUCCCCGGGCUCAAGGGCAGGGGAAAAUCCCCGGCUCCGCUUACUCAGCGCUGACACCUCGUCCUCCCCGGCCCCUUUUUGAGGCAAAAAAAGGCGAUUUCGGGACUGGCUGCGAGCGCCGCCGCCUGCUUUUUCCCCUACAGGUACGGCCGCGACCCUAAAACCCUGCUGGGGGUUAAUCCCCAUCACCCGGGGCUGCUUUCCCUGCGCAGGGACCCCAAAUAAGCUAAAAAACUCCCCAAAUA